rnacentral:rRNA from 1 species
AACGAACGCUGGCGGCAUGCUUUACACAUGCAAGUCGAACGGUAACAGGGUGCUUGCACCGCUGACGAGUGGCGAACGGGUGAGUAAUGCGUCGGAACGUGCCGAGUAGUGGGGGAUAACGCAGCGAAAGUUGUGCUAAUACCGCAUACGUACUGAGGUAGAAAGUGGGGGACCUUCGGGCCUCACGCUAUUCGAGCGGCCGACGUCUGAUUAGCUAGUAGGUGAGGUAAAGGCUCACCUAGGCGACGAUCAGUAGCGGGUCUGAGAGGAUGAUCCGCGACACGGGGACUGAGACACGGCCCAGACUCCUACGGGAGGCAGCAGUGGGGAAUUUUGGACAAUGGGCGAAAGCCUGAUCCAGCCAUGCCGCGUGUCUGAAGAAGGCCUUCGGGUUGUAAAGGACUUUUGUCAGGGAGGAAAUCCCUAGUGCUAAUAACACUGGGGGAUGACAGUACCUGAAGAAUAAGCACCGGCUAACUACGUGCCAGCCGCCGCCGUAA